rnacentral:rRNA from 1 species
CCUCGGAACACGACCCCAGGUCAGGCGGGGCCACCCGCUGAGCUUAAGC